rnacentral:lncRNA from 1 species
CUUGGCCGAAUUCUCUGCAGCAAAAACACAACACAAAGUUGCCAUUUUCAUCUUCAAUUCUUGCACAAAACCUUCAUAGAUUCACACCAAAUUUGAACUACACUUAGCUUGUUGCUUGGAGAGUUCAUCUAGCUAGCAAAAGGAGGAGUUUUUCACGGUUUCUUGGAGCACUAGAGGACCGAAAAUUUCUGGUUUAAGACACCAAGGAGGUAUAACAUCAUCCUACACCUUAAACUUGGAUUAUGAUGGUAGAAAUGCAUCUUUAAGCUAUUGCAUGUGUAUGGGUGUCUUGACAUUGGUGUAAAAUUUGAAAAGUGGGCUUUAUGGAUUCCCACACUUAGGUUGUUGCUGAUUUGAUGAUUGAUGGUGGUUAUAUUGUUGGUUUAGUGGUUAAAAUGAUGGAUUAGUGGUGGGUAAUUGAUAGAAACUUCAUUGGGUGCAAGAAGCAAAAAUUUCCGAAAAUACCCCUGUUUUGUUCGGCCACUAUAAGGCCAAUUUUUGGUGAAUUAUUGGCAUGAACCUGAUGCUUAUAUGUUAUAUUAGAUGUGUGAAAAGUUUCAUUGAAAAAUAAUAAGGUUUGGUUGGGCAAAUGAAUUUUUUUGGGAAACUAGCAAAUCUGGAAACUGUUCCCGUAUGGCUCAGACCAGCUGUGGUAUUUCGACUAUAACUCUGUCCUCGGAUGUCAAAAUCAUGUGCCGUCAGUGGCGUUUGAAACUAAACAUCCCAGGCUUUAAUUUGAGAUAAAAUGCAUGUUCUGAUUCUUUGUGAGUGAGCCGGACCAAACGUUUUAAGAUCACUAUCCUGUUUCUCGGAACUGGUGGAAUGGUCUGUAGAGGCAGCAACUUGAGGCUCAAUUUCGAGCUGGUUGCUUGCCAAAUUUUGAAACAAUUUCUUCUGUGAACUUUUAUUCCUAUGAAUUUAUUUUCCAACGCCAUAAACCACGCUCAAUUCCAAGCUAAAUUGACUGAGUUGUGACCAAAAUAAGAGGACUGCCCUGUUUUGGAAAAACGUAUUAUUUGGACUGGUUUCGGACAAAAACCCGUGAGUAAUCUUAUUAAUUGAAAUUUUGAUACUAAACCAUUACCAAAGGUAUCAUGGUUGUAUCUUAGACCUUUAUUUCACAAAUGAACCAUGGUUGGAUAGCUUUCUUGGUUAAACGAUUUGAAUUUGGAAAAUGAAAGUCAAAAGGCAGAUUGCCUUAGGAAUUUUCCGGAACUUUGGGUGAUUAGUUCACCACCUUCCCGAGGGUAUGUUUCCCUGAAAUUUGACAGAGAGAUACCUUCCAUAUAGUAUCGAAAUACUGCCAAUUUUGGUAUCAAUCCAAGUUCGUUUCGAUACCUAAUUAAAUUUCUAGUGUUGGAGGUUCAAAUCUGGAAAUUCUUCUCCAGUCUUGAAUUUGCCCUGCCGUAUCUCGGUACUCGAAACUCCGAUUCUUGAUCCGCUUGUUUUGUUAUAAACUUCACUUGCAACACUACUUGAGUGACAAAUUUCAGAGGCUGGUUUGCAACGUUCGAAUCGUGCCGAAUUUUCAAAGUUGGCCAAAAUCCAACUUCAUUCUGCCUUGUGAACCAAUUCUGUACCUUCAAGCUCAUUUUGAGCACUUUCCACUUCGAUUCAUGGAAAAGUGUCUUCUAGGAACUUAUAGUACUUUCUAAGAGGUUUCCAACGGUAUAAAGUUUUCCAAUUCUUGACUUGUACCGAGUGAGUUACGAUAUUUCAAAGAUUCAUAACAAAACUGAAUUUUUCAAAUUUCAAGGCAAAGGAGUUUUCCAAAAACUCUUAAUUCUUUUAGUAAUAUUCAAACGUUUUGCCCUCGAUUUUCAUGAUAAAAACUCAAUUAAUAUUGUACUUAAUAAAACGCAAGUUGAACCUCGAUUUACGAGUAAUUGAGGUUCAUUUUUGUGAAAUAUUCCUUAGAUUGUACUAAUGUACAAUCUUACUUGAUAAUUGAGAUACUUGAGUAAUUAUCCACCAUUAACUGCCAGGCACACAAGGAGACCUUCAAGAGGAUCUCACCGUGGACACUUGAACUCCAGCGAAUAAUCUUUAUUGAUUAGCUUGGUGAGUGUCAAGUGUGUGAAUCUUUGAUACUUGCUUAAUUGUGGUAAUUAUUAGAGAUUUUAAAAAUAAGGGCGGGUGUGUACUUUAUCGCAUCCGUCCUGAUUUCAAAUGAAUGAAUGAAAUGUAUUGAAUGAAUGAAUGAAAUGCAAUGCUAUGUAAUGGUUACAUAUGUCGUUGGAGUGAACCUCCUCGACUUUCAAAUGAAUGGGGGACGCCCAAACUCAUAGGCCGACCUUGAACUCGAGCCGGCAAUGGGCUUGGUCGGGAACUUGGGCGAGCCAUGAGAUUAUAAGCUCGACCUAAUAAGAGGUCUUGCUUGGCAUACUCGUCGAGUAUCGCCCUAAAAAUAGACUUGUGGGCCCUUGGGGUGUACGGUGGACGGAGGGAAGUAAGUGGUGAUCUACGGAAAUGGAAAUACCAACCCGGUUGUGUGAUGACCCCAUCUUCCCCUAAGGCGAACCAGAGGGGUGACGGACCGCCUGCCCAGCUCUCGCCAGGACUACGGAUCACAAAACAAUCAAAUACAUAUUUAAUUUUACAAAAGAAAACUCAACGAAAGAACAUUUUAUCCCAUUAAGGUGUUCUUGGAACAAUAGUAUCAUCACGCAAGAAAGUAUAGCGCUCGAGCACUUCAAUCGGACCAGAAAACGAAGAACGAAAAUUUGCCGCGGAUGAACAGUAACCGCCUGCGUCACUAUCCGGCCAGAAUCUGGCCGGAUAUCCGGCCGGAUUCUCGGCCGGAUAGGAGGCCGAGGCUAAACCCAAAAUUUUCAAAAUCCCCUGCCAAUCCGGCCAGAAAUCCGGCCGGAAGUUGGCCGGAUUGCUCUGGCCGGAUUGUGGCCAGAAGCAAAAUCGAAAAUUUUUUUUUCUUCCCCUGCAUAUCCGGCCUUGUAUCCGGCCAGUUUCUGGCCGGAUUCUUGGCCGGAUUCUGGGCAGUGUUUUUGCCAAAAAUUCUUUCUUCCUUCGUACAAAACCGACACACGCGUAAACACAUCAAACACAUAAUGCAGUUUAUCCAAGCCUUGAAAAGCUGUUUAUACAUGCCAUAUAUACAUGAGAAAGGUUCAAUUUACACUUCAAAAGUUCUUGGAAUCAAAUACAUCAAAGUUCAAGUUUCCGAGGAGCUAAUCAAAACUAAGUACAUAUCUAGCUCAACUCAUUCAAAACUUGAGGUCCAACGGGGCUCCUGUAAGGAAAACAAAAUAACGGGGGUGAGCUUACGCUCGUGAGGUACCAAACUUACACACAAGUAAUACAAGUCAACAACCACAUAUACACAAGUGCCUCUAGCCAAUCAACCGUAUAUAAAAGGAUACAAUCGGCCCUCAAGGGCCGUUUUCCACUUGCCGUACUUGAUCAUACCCGUUGACACUCCGUCAACCAUUGGAGACAACCAAGAACCGUAGGCACCUCUUUACACCAUUUCCUUCCACCAAUCACCCCCUUACCGGGCCCGCACACCUCACAGUUACAAAAGGCAAUACUCGAGUAUACCAUAAGGUCGAGGAGUGAAUACUCCACUCGACUAUCAGUGACCCAAAGGCACGUUAACGACUCACCCAAGCCCUAGCCGGCUCGACUCGAGUAACGGCCUAAGGGAAAGAGCUCAGUUUUCACAGUAAUAAUAGGGCAUAGCCCUAGCAAAUAUCAAACCACAUAUGUACUUGAAAUUUCACAGUCCAACAGUAACAAUAAUACCAGUAAGUGGUCAAGAGCGAUAAAGUACACCCUUGACCUAUUCAAGACAUACAAGUCACAUAUCAAGUGCAAUCAACCAUUUAACGAUACACUCACCAAGUACUCAAGUAAAUCACACGUUCGAGUCAGGAGUAGGUCCCGGUCCACCGGUACGACCUAAAACAAGCAAGAAACAUAUUUGAGACUCAUACACGAGUCAACGUAUAGGUUUAACCUACUAAUACAAAUUACUCGAAAAUACAAAAUGGAGCAACGAAAGUGUGGAAUGUGAACAAACUCCCCAAGUCAUCCAUUCUAUUCAAAUCCUUCUCAAUUCAAGACCUCCCAUUUUUACACCCAAUUGGGCGGCAUUUCCCCUUAAUUUCUUCACAUUUCCAACCUAAUGAACAACACUCAACUUGUACCAUUCCACUUAUGGUUCUUAAACUAGUCCAUUCACCCCAUUUGAAUCACAAUACAACCAUAUACACAUCAAUUGAUUGCAUGAAAACCAUACAUGGAAAAGCCCCAAUUUCAUUAAACCCUAAAACCGAAAUUUUCUCACAAAUGCUGAAAUUUUCCACAAUUACCCACCAUUAACACAUAUAAGCUCUAAAUCAAGCCAUAUAAAGCCAUCACACCCAACUCAACCAUGAUAUAUCAUAUAAAACAGAAAAUUCCUAAAUAAAUAGAAAAUUGCCACAUCUCAAGUAUAAGUCAUGAAAUACUCCAUAAAAUAGCCUCUUGAACUACUAUCACCCAUAACUUUCAUCUUACAACCAACAAGGAAACAAUUCCAUAUUUACUCACCUUACAAUUCUUGAUACAAGGUAGAUGAGAGCCUUUCCUUUCAAACAAAAACCACCAAGCACUUCAAACACUCCUAGCAAGAAGGUUUUAUGGAGGAUUUUGAGAGAUUAGUGGUUGGAUUCCAUGAUUUGGCAAAGAAAUGGAGCAAGAGUUGAAGAGCUUUCUUCCUUCUUUUCUCUCUAGUUGGCCGGCCAAGAGGUAAGAAAUAAUGAGGAAUUUUAGUCAAAAUUUUAAUUUAGUAAAGGUGUAGACAAGUCAAAAGUCCAAGGUCCAAUAGGAUUGCAACAUGUGUUUUUUUCCAAGCUUAUCUCAUUCUUGUCUUACAACACUUAAUUAAACCAACUAACCUCCAAUUAACUCAUAACACAAGAUAAUAAAACUUCCGUAUAUAAAAUUUCCCAAAGCUACAUUUAACUGUACCGAUCGUCUUAGUGGGUCCCGCAACCGCUGUACACCGUUAACAACACAGAAUUUGACCUAAACCCAGAAAAUGAUGCAAAAUUCAUAUUCUCUCAUAAAAUUCCCCAGAAAACCCACGGAUAGAAGAAAACCCUAAAAUUAGGCCCAAACGCCCAAAAUAAAUGCCUGAAAAAUAUGAAAAUUUUCGGGGUCUCACACUCUCUCCCCCUUAAAGAAUUUCGUCCUCGAAAUUUCUCACCUGAAUCACUAAACAGUUCGGGAUAUUUGGUUUUCAUUUCACUCUCCAUCUCCCAAGUUGCUUCCUCGACUCCGUGGUUCUUCCAUAGCACUUUCACCAGUGGAAUUUGCUUAUUCCUUAGCUCCUUAACUUUCCUAUCAAGCACUCGCAUAGGUUUUUCUUCGUAAGUAAGGGCUUCAUCAACGUCAAUCUCCCCCGGCUGGACAAUGUGCGUUGGAUCAGGGUAAUACUUUUUGAGCAUCGACACAUGGAAUACAUCGUGAAUUCGUGACAAGCUCGGCGGCAAGUCAAGCCGGUACGCUACUUUUCCAACCCGUUGAAGGAUCGGAAACGGUCCUAUGAAUCUAGGUUGGAGUUUCUUUCCUCGGCCAGCAGUGAUGCUUCGCAAUGGUGUAAUCUUGAGGAAUACAUGGUCCCCCACUUCAAAUUCCAAAUCUUUCCUUCGGUUGUCGGCAUAGCUCUUCUGGCGACUUUGGGCUGUCUGGAGUCUCUGACGGAUUAACUUGAUAUUUUCUUGAGCAUCCUCCAUCCAAGGAAUGAUAGUAGGAUCUAGAACCUUCUUCUCUCCCACUUCAUCCCAGUAUAUCGGUGAACGGCACUUUCGUCCAUAAAGAGCUUCGUAUGGUGCCAUUUGGAUUGAAGAAUGAUAGCUGUUAUUAUAGGCGAACUCUACUAAUGUCAUGUGUUGUCCCCAAUUACCCCCGAAAUCUAGAAUACUCGUUCGUAACAUAUCUUCGAGGGUCUGAAUCGUUCGCUCCGACUGUCCAUCCGUCUGAGGAUGAUAAGUAGUACUCAGGUUCAGUUUCGUCCCCAAGGUCUCCUGAAACUUUUGCCAAAAUCUGGACACAAAACGAGGGUCUCGGUCGGAAACGAUGCUCACAGGCACUCCAUGCAAUCUUACAAUCUCUUCUAAAUAUACUCGAGCUAACUUAUCCAUGGAAUACUUCAUAUUCACAGGUAGGAAAUGAGCCGACUUGGUCAAUCGAUCAACGAUCACCCAAACGGCAUCACAUCCUUUUUGAGUUCUAGGUAAUCCGGAAACGAAAUCCAUGGUGAUGUGUUCCCACUUCCAUUCGGGAAUCUCCAAAGGCUGCAGUAGUCCCGAAGGCUUCUGGUGUUCGGCCUUAACUUGCUGGCACACUAAACAGGUCUGGACGUACUGAGCUAUCUCUCUCUUCAUCCUGUCCCACCAGUACAAUCGUCGUAAAUCAUGAUACAUCUUGUUACUUCCUGGAUGGAUUGUAUACUUAGAUCGAUGAGCUUCCUCCAAGAUUUCCCUUCUCAAAGUUUCAUCAUCAGGUACCACUAUUCGAUUUUGAAAUCUUAAAAUCCCUUCAGGGCUCAAAUUAAAAUUGGGUAUUUCUCCUUUCUUCACCUUUUCUACCCACCUUUGAACUGUCGGAUCCUUAGUUUGAGCUUCCUUGAUCUUUUCUAAAAACACGGACGUCACUCGGAUAUUCCCAAAGGUUAUCCUAUUAUGUUCCAGCUUUGGAUUCCAUUCUCCAAUGGUUCCCAGUAAUUCCCACUCUUUCACCAUCAAUCCAGACAUCUGAGCCUUUCGGCUUAGGGCAUCGGCUACCACGUUAGCCUUACCAGGAUGGUAGUUAAUGGUAUAAUCGUAAUCCUCCAAGAAUUCCAUCCAACGGCGUUGUCUCAUGUUCAACUCCUUCUAGGAAAAGAGGUAUCUGAGGCUCUUAUGGUCAGAAUAAACUUCAAAAGUCACUCCGUACAGAUAGUGUCUCCACUUUUUCAGAGCGAAGAUGUAACGACCCCAUUUUCCCCUAAGGCGAACCAGAGGGGUCAACGGGCCGCCUGCCCAGCUCUCGCCAGGUCUCCGUCAAUUACUACAGUUCUCCAAAAAUUACAAUAUAAAUCUCACAUAUAUACAUCAAAUUCUCCAAGAACUACAUAUCACAAACGCCGCGGAAUGUACACGUACGUCCAUUCAAGUCCAAUCAUUCAUUACAAACCAUAUCCACAAGCUAUUACACAAGAGGCGAUCCAAAUUCAAACCGUACAAGGUAGAAUCCAUCCAUUCCAAUUAUAAACAGUCACCCUAGCCCAACUAUUACACCAAACGAAUUCAAAUCCAAACUAUACAAGAUAUACACCGUCCAGGUACACAAAUAACUUAAUACAGCUCUUCCUUUGUUCGAAACUGGUACUCGCAUAAACACAUCAAACACAUAAUGCAAUUUAUCCAAGACUUGACAAGGACAUAUAUAUACAUGAGAAAGAUUCAAUUGUACACUUCAAAAGUACUUGAAUUCAUUUACAUCAAAAUUUCAAGUUUUCGAGGAGCAACUCAAAACUAGCUACAUAACUAGCUCAACUCAUUUCAAAAUUUGCGUCCAACAGUGUCCCUGUAAGGAAAACAAAACAACGGGGUGAGCUUGCGCUCGUGAGGUACCAAAUGCACAAAUACAUGAUGCGGCCAAAUAACAUAUACGCAUAAGUGCCUUUAUUCAAACAUUCAUUUAUAAAAGGAUACUUUCGGCCCUCAAGGGCCGUUUCCAAUGUCCAUACUUGAUCGUAUUCGUUGACACUCCGUCAACCAUUGAAGAUAACCAAGAACCGUAGACACCUCUUCUCACCAUCUCCUUCCACCGUUCACCCCCUAUUCGGGCCCGCCGCCUCAAAGUUCCAAAAGGUAAUACUCGAGUAUACCACAAGGUCGAGGAGCUAACACUCCACUCGCCUAUCAAGGACCCAAAGGCUCGUUAACGAAUCGCCCAAGCCCUUGCCGGCUUGACUCGACUAACGGUCUAAGGGUAUGAGCUCAAGUUCACAGUAAUAGUAGGGCAUUGCCCUAUCAAAUGUCAAAUCAUGUACAUAUUCAAUUUCAUAGCCAAAUAGCAUUGGUAAUGCAAGUAUGUGGUCAAGAGCGAUAAAGUACACCCUCGACCUAUUCAAGUUAUAUAACAAGUACAAUGAACCAUUUAGUGAUACACUCACCAAGCACGGCUCACGAAGCUUAUUCGGCAAGCCUCAUUAUCUUGAUCAAGUUGAAAUCCUAAAACCAAAUAUCACGUCAAGCAAAGGAAAAUUCUAACAUUAACAAGCUUCUAUUGCCUUUUGGCAUUUUAAUCACAAGUAAAGCUAUACCUAUCCGAUCAAAACAAAUCUUAUGGCGUUACGAAGCUAAAACAUAUGUCAACAUUUCUUAUGAAGAUUUCCAAGGCCAAAUCAUACAUUUUCAAAACCAAAAUCUGAAUUCUAGAGAAAGAACGAAAACUGUCAUAAAACAGGAGUCUAUAAACAGUCAGAGCAAAUCAGUCAUUUUUCCAGGCUACAGAGGUCCAAACAAUCUGAAAUUUUGUAGGUAGGUAGUUAACUCAUAUAUCUACAAAAUUCAUGUUUUGAGCAAAAGCUGGUUCGGUCUAAAACACAGAGAAAAUGACAGUCCAAGUUCGGUCCAGAAACAGGGGAAAACUAAAAGUAUCCUUCUUGAACCAACCUUUGCAUACAACCAUUACUAAUCACAAUUAUAGACUAGAAAUCCCCACUUAACAUGAGACUAGCCUAUACUAAUCAUGUACAUGCCAAAACAAGGAUGAAUUAUCUUAAACAAAGUUUAGAAACGUCACUAAUAUGAAACUUUAUCAUCCCAACUUCCGAAUCACAAGAAUUUCCAUAAAAUGAAUCAAGACCAAUUCAAAUUCAAAACAACCACAUACUCUCAAAAAUUGGGCGGCAUAACCCCUUAAUUUCACACAUUUCAAACCUACUAUUCAAAUACCAAUUCUCAUACCAAUUAACCACAGUCACCCAUUUUAUUCAUAAUCAAUAUCAUACAUUCAAUUAAGCCAUAAUUUCCUUCAAUCAAAGCCAAUCAAAAGCUUAAAGCCAACCUUGGAAAAAUCCCCAAUUUGAAACCCUAGAAACCGGAAAUCACACUACAAGCAUAAAUUUUCUGCAAUCGAUCACAAAUAACGUACAAGAGCUCCAUUUAACAUCGUUUCAAUCCAUCAAUCCAACACUAAUCAUAACUUUCAUAUAAAAUCAGAAAAAUACCCAAUAAAUCACAAUUCACCAUCAAUUCCUUCAACCCAUGAAAUACUCCACAAUACAACAUAUUUAAACAUCACAAACCCUAGAUUAACCAAUAUUAGAACCAAAAAGACAUUGUUUAUUCAACUUACCUCCAAUUCAAGAGAGUAACCAAACCAAAGCUUCCCCUUCAAAACCAAUCCAUCAAAAGCUUUAGACCACCAUAGUGCACCCUUGUGUGGAGUAGCUUGCCAAAUCAUUGGUUAAAACUCAAGAUAUUUGUCAAAAAUUAAACUAAGAAAAUUGAGAGUAUUUUCUCUCUAUGAAGCUCGGAUGAACCAGGGAAGAAAAUGAGGCAUUUUAGGCAAAACAAUGAGAUAAGAAGGAAGAAAAAGGCAGCCGGUCAAAGCUGACCGGCUGUGACACGUCACAAUCCGGCCAGAAUCUGGCCGGAUUUCCGGCCGGAUUCCUGGCCGGAUACAAGGCCGAGGCUGAUCAAAAUUUUUUCAAAACUGCAGGGCAAUCCGGCCAGAAACUGGCCGGAUUUCCGGCCGGAUUUGGCCACUGCCAUUUUUCGAAACUUUUCUUUUCUUGUCCGAGUUGAAAAACUGUGCUACUCCGCUCGUCCAACAAAAAUAUCCAUAAAAUGAAAACCCUACUUUUCGGGGCGUCACAAUCUCUCCUCCUUAAAACAAUGUCGUCCUCGACAUUCUACCUCAUAUACAUCUGGUCAAGAUAUCGUUCAAAAACCAUUCAAGCAUUAGAAUUCCAUCUAAUCCAACUUGCAUUCACCAGGUCCAAUUAGUCUUCCCAAAGUCGGUCAAAUACUAAGAAUUGUUCCAAUCUCACUUAUCGAAAUCAAGUACUAAGGAGUAUCCAAAUCCAGCUUAUCAAAUAGUCAUGAUCCAGUAAAGCAUGGCUUAUCAAAUAAUCACUUAUCAAUUUCAAGUACUAAAUACACGCCAAUCCAACUUAUCAAAUAGUCAUGAUCCAAUAAGGAGUUAUCGCGUAGCCAGAUAAAGCAGGCAAAAGGCUUGAAAUCGGACGUAAAGUCCCAGAUAUCUGGAAGAAAUUCAGGGUAUAGCGAAGCUGCAAAUCAAAAACUCAUCCCUGGUGGUGCUGGACAACACAACAAGCUAGCACAACGGCUAUGCUUCACCAAAGAAUUUCAAUUCAGUAAGUUGGCCCUGGUGGUGCCGGACAACACAACAAGUUAGCACCACGGCUAAACUUCGCCAGAGAGCCUCAAUUCAAAGUUCCAUCCCUGGUGGUGCUGGACCACACAACAGGCAUGCCUCGCCUGAAGAAUGGCGGUGCUGGACAACACAACAGGCAAUGCCUCACCAGAGAGGUUCAGUUCACCCGCUACAAAAGAGUAGUAGCCGGUCUACAACCAUAUGAGUACAAAUAAGUUCAAGAGUAGGGUCAAAGCAGCGCCAAUUACUUCAGGUUCAUAGUGCAUGAGUACGAGGAAGUUCAAAAGCAGGGUCAAUUAUUGCAGAUUCAGGGAGCACGGUCACAAAUAAGAGUACAAGUUCAGGUUCAAGUGCAAGUUCAAGUUCAAGGAUCAUGAGUACUGGUAAAACACACUAGCCUAACCUCUGUCCAACUAUUCACAUUCUUAAGCAGUCAUGAAAUUCAAGUCCACCUACAGGUCCAAUACCAUAUAUUCAGUGAAGUUAGGUCCAUCAAGGAUACGUAUAAACACACUCGCCUAACGAGGUCAAGUCUCAAGGAAGUUCAAUCCAGUCGAUCUCAGGCAGCCCAAGACCAAUCUCAGGUAGUUCGAGGUCAAUCCCAAGUAGUUCAAGUAUAGCAAAUUCCAACACUUACCACUCAAGUGGUGCAACUUUAAUCCAACAGGAAUACUAGAAGAGAGAUACAAAACUAAAAAUUUCUCAACAAUUCUAGCCACUACCGAAAUGUAUCAAAACCCGAGCCACAUACUUAUUGAACAAGUCCAAGUCAUUAUUUCACUCUCCUUAUUCGGUUUAGCCGUGAGUACAAUACAAAAUCUUCUGUGCUCUAACCUAUGCCAUCACAACUUAUCUCAAACUCACUUAUAAUUUCCAUUCACAUCGUCAUACAUUAAACUAUGUUCCAACCAAGAUUCAUGAGCAUUUCCUCAAGAAAAUGUCAAGUACUCAAAUACAAGAAUUCCAACUAAGAACUUCACGACUCAGAUCGUAUGGUAUUCAGCGAAAAUCAAAGUCAUAUUUUACAUAUACUACUUCCAGAAUUAGUGCCAAUGUCACCAAGUGGCACCAAGUUCAAUCGGAUCACAUGCCUUUACGAAAUUAGAUCCAAUACUUCCAUAACACAAGCUGAAACCAAAGGUUAUCCAUUCGAAGUUCAAAAUCUUCAAUAAACCAGCUACUAGUAAGAGCACCAUCAUCUCCAAGAAUAACCAAUCUUAGGUUCUAUAGCAGAGUCUCAAGUUCCAAGUUCAAAUCCAAGAAGUAAGCACAGCUUGCUAACUUACAUGGUAAAUAGAAACCAAGUCAAAUAAGCUCAUCAGUUAUUCACAAAUUUUCGAAUUCGAAAUUCAAGUAAAAUUCACCUUUUUACCAAAAUCGGAAAAUUACACAUUUUUAAAGCAUAUAUAUCGAAUUUCCAAACAUCGCUUGCAAAUAAAACUAGGAAGUAUACAGGCAGAAAAUGCAUUUUAUUCAUUUGAUACUCUUUUAUCUUGGUUCAAAAUCAUCAUACGUGGAGUUUGGCCAGCAAACCUCGGUCUCUUAUCCCCCAUAGCCAGUACUAAUGAUUAUCUCAACUCUUUCCACACUUACAAGUAUAAUAAUACUUCAAAUUCAUCCAAUCUUUCACUGCAAAUCUCUCAUCCCAUAUUUUCCUUCAAUAUAAAUCCCAAGCAAGAAACUCCCAAGUAAUCAAUUUCUUUAACCUCUAAGAUACAAUAGAUCCUUGUUCACACAAUAUUCAAAUCACUCCCACAGUCAGGCAUCCUAAAUUUCAAACUUAGGAUACACUACAGAGAUCGGAAGCCUAAGCUCUGAUACCACUUGUAACGACCCCAUUUUCCCCUAAGGCGAACCAGAGGGGUCAACGGGCCGCCUGCCCAGCUCUCGCCAGGUCUCCGUCAAUUACUACAGUUCUCCAAAAAUUACAAUAUAAAUCUCACAUAUAUACAUCAAAUUCUCCAAGAACUACAUAUCACAAACGCCGCGGAAUGUACACGUACGUCCAUUCAAGUCCAAUCAUUCAUUACAAACCAUAUCCACAAGCUAUUACACAAGAGGCGAUCCAAAUUCAAACCGUACAAGGUAGAAUCCAUCCAUUCCAAUUAUAAACAGUCACCCUAGCCCAACUAUUACACCAAACGAAUUCAAAUCCAAACUAUACAAGAUAUACACCGUCCAGGUACACAAAUAACUUAAUACAGCUCUUCCUUUGUUCGAAACUGGUACUCGCAUAAACACAUCAAACACAUAAUGCAAUUUAUCCAAGACUUGACAAGGACAUAUAUAUACAUGAGAAAGAUUCAAUUGUACACUUCAAAAGUACUUGAAUUCAUUUACAUCAAAAUUUCAAGUUUUCGAGGAGCAACUCAAAACUAGCUACAUAACUAGCUCAACUCAUUUCAAAAUUUGCGUCCAACAGUGUCCCUGUAAGGAAAACAAAACAACGGGGUGAGCUUGCGCUCGUGAGGUACCAAAUGCACAAAUACAUGAUGCGGCCAAAUAACAUAUACGCAUAAGUGCCUUUAUUCAAACAUUCAUUUAUAAAAGGAUACUUUCGGCCCUCAAGGGCCGUUUCCAAUGUCCAUACUUGAUCGUAUUCGUUGACACUCCGUCAACCAUUGAAGAUAACCAAGAACCGUAGACACCUCUUCUCACCAUCUCCUUCCACCGUUCACCCCCUAUUCGGGCCCGCCGCCUCAAAGUUCCAAAAGGUAAUACUCGAGUAUACCACAAGGUCGAGGAGCUAACACUCCACUCGCCUAUCAAGGACCCAAAGGCUCGUUAACGAAUCGCCCAAGCCCUUGCCGGCUUGACUCGACUAACGGUCUAAGGGUAUGAGCUCAAGUUCACAGUAAUAGUAGGGCAUUGCCCUAUCAAAUGUCAAAUCAUGUACAUAUUCAAUUUCAUAGCCAAAUAGCAUUGGUAAUGCAAGUAUGUGGUCAAGAGCGAUAAAGUACACCCUCGACCUAUUCAAGUUAUAUAACAAGUACAAUGAACCAUUUAGUGAUACACUCACCAAGCACGGCUCACGAAGCUUAUUCGGCAAGCCUCAUUAUCUUGAUCAAGUUGAAAUCCUAAAACCAAAUAUCACGUCAAGCAAAGGAAAAUUCUAACAUUAACAAGCUUCUAUUGCCUUUUGGCAUUUUAAUCACAAGUAAAGCUAUACCUAUCCGAUCAAAACAAAUCUUAUGGCGUUACGAAGCUAAAACAUAUGUCAACAUUUCUUAUGAAGAUUUCCAAGGCCAAAUCAUACAUUUUCAAAACCAAAAUCUGAAUUCUAGAGAAAGAACGAAAACUGUCAUAAAACAGGAGUCUAUAAACAGUCAGAGCAAAUCAGUCAUUUUUCCAGGCUACAGAGGUCCAAACAAUCUGAAAUUUUGUAGGUAGGUAGUUAACUCAUAUAUCUACAAAAUUCAUGUUUUGAGCAAAAGCUGGUUCGGUCUAAAACACAGAGAAAAUGACAGUCCAAGUUCGGUCCAGAAACAGGGGAAAACUAAAAGUAUCCUUCUUGAACCAACCUUUGCAUACAACCAUUACUAAUCACAAUUAUAGACUAGAAAUCCCCACUUAACAUGAGACUAGCCUAUACUAAUCAUGUACAUGCCAAAACAAGGAUGAAUUAUCUUAAACAAAGUUUAGAAACGUCACUAAUAUGAAACUUUAUCAUCCCAACUUCCGAAUCACAAGAAUUUCCAUAAAAUGAAUCAAGACCAAUUCAAAUUCAAAACAACCACAUACUCUCAAAAAUUGGGCGGCAUAACCCCUUAAUUUCACACAUUUCAAACCUACUAUUCAAAUACCAAUUCUCAUACCAAUUAACCACAGUCACCCAUUUUAUUCAUAAUCAAUAUCAUACAUUCAAUUAAGCCAUAAUUUCCUUCAAUCAAAGCCAAUCAAAAGCUUAAAGCCAACCUUGGAAAAAUCCCCAAUUUGAAACCCUAGAAACCGGAAAUCACACUACAAGCAUAAAUUUUCUGCAAUCGAUCACAAAUAACGUACAAGAGCUCCAUUUAACAUCGUUUCAAUCCAUCAAUCCAACACUAAUCAUAACUUUCAUAUAAAAUCAGAAAAAUACCCAAUAAAUCACAAUUCACCAUCAAUUCCUUCAACCCAUGAAAUACUCCACAAUACAACAUAUUUAAACAUCACAAACCCUAGAUUAACCAAUAUUAGAACCAAAAAGACAUUGUUUAUUCAACUUACCUCCAAUUCAAGAGAGUAACCAAACCAAAGCUUCCCCUUCAAAACCAAUCCAUCAAAAGCUUUAGACCACCAUAGUGCACCCUUGUGUGGAGUAGCUUGCCAAAUCAUUGGUUAAAACUCAAGAUAUUUGUCAAAAAUUAAACUAAGAAAAUUGAGAGUAUUUUCUCUCUAUGAAGCUCGGAUGAACCAGGGAAGAAAAUGAGGCAUUUUAGGCAAAACAAUGAGAUAAGAAGGAAGAAAAAGGCAGCCGGUCAAAGCUGACCGGCUGUGACACGUCACAAUCCGGCCAGAAUCUGGCCGGAUUUCCGGCCGGAUUCCUGGCCGGAUACAAGGCCGAGGCUGAUCAAAUUUUUUUCAAAACUGCAGGGCAAUCCGGCCAGCUAUCCGGCCAGAAACUGGCCGGAUUUCCGGCCGGAUUUGGCCACUGCCAUUUUUCGAAACUUUUCUUUUCUUGUCCGAGUUGAAAAACUGUGCUACUCCGCUCGUCCAACAAAAAUAUCCAUAAAAUGAAAACCCUACUUUUCGGGGCGUCACAGAAGACAACUGCGGCCAGUUCCAGAUCAUGAAUGGGAUAGUUUUGCUCAUGAAUUUUCAAUUUUCUAGAAGCAUAGGCUAUCACGUUUUGAUGUUGCAUCAAUACGCAUCCUAACCCUUCUUUGGAGGCGUCAGUGUAAACAGUGAAACCGUCUGGACCGUUAGGUAAAGCCAGAAUAGGGGCCAUGGUUAAUCUCCGUUUCAACUCGUGAAAGCUAUUUUCACACUUAUCACUCCAUAGAAAUUUUCCACCCUUCUUGGUUAGAUCGGUUAAGGGACUGGCAAGUUUCGAAAAAUCUUUACUAAAUCGCCGAUAAUAACCUGCCAACCCUAGAAAACUUCGGAUCUCAGUAGGGUUAUCGGGUCUCUUCCACUCAGUCACCGCUUCUACCUUGGCCGGAUCUACAGCAAUUCCUUCCUUUGAAAUCACGUGCCCCAGAAAAGAAACCUUUUCUAGCCAAAACUCACAUUUACUAAACUUAGCAUACAACCGGUGCUCCCUCAAGGUUUGUAGGACCUUUUUCAAAUGUUGUUCGUGCUCCUCACGGGUUUUUGAAUAAACCAAUAUGUCAUCAAUAAAAACAACGACAAAUCGAUCGAGAUAAGGUUUGAAAAUUCGAUGCAUGAGGUCCAUGAAAGCAGCAGGGGCAUUGGUCAGUCCAAAAGGCAUCACAGCAAAUUCGUAGUGCCCAUACCGAGAAUUGAAGGCGGUUUUAGGCACAUCUUCCUUUUUAAUUAACAGUUGGUAAUACCCCUGUCGAAGAUCUAACUUUGAAAAGACCACCGCACCCUGUAAUUGAUCAAAUAGCUCAUCGAUGUGAGGUAGGGGUACUUGUUCUUAAUGGUCACGUUGUUCAACCCUCGGUAAUCGAUACAUAAUCUCAAGGUUCCAUCCUUCUUCUUAACAAAGAGAAUAGGUGCCCCCCAAGGUGAUCCACUCUCGUGAAUAAACCCUCGCUCUAGAAGGUCUUGCAACUGUAACUUCAGCUCUUUGAGUUCCGCAGGUGCCAUUCGGUAAGGAGUUUUGGAAAUAGGGGAAGCCCCUGGACAAAGGUUAACUUCAAACUCAAUUUCUCUUUCUGGAGGCAGAUUUACUAACUCGUCAGGAAAAACAUCAGGGUAUUCACUCACUACCGGAACAUCUUCUAUUUUCAGUUUGUCGGCAGGAGUGUUAAUAAGAAAAGCUAGGAACCCUUGCGCCCCUCUAUUCAAUAAUUUCCUAGCUCGAAUACCUGAUAUCAUAGCAGAUGAGGCUAGACUACCCCUCACAUCUAACCUCAAAGUUGCCUCUCCAGGAAUACAGAAUUCUACUAUUUUCCUUUUACAAUCCAGUUGGGCAUCGUAUCGGGCCAACCAAUCCAUGCCUAAUAUCACAUCGUAUCCCUUAAUGGCUAAACUUAUUAAAUUCCCCAAUAACUUCCGCUCACCUACCCAGAUCUCACAAUCCGAAUACAUCUUGCUAGAAAUCAAACAUUGAUCCCCUGUAGGAGUACUAACUUCCAGCUCAUAGGGAAGAAUAACAGGGUUUUAUAUCAAUUCCGCACAUAAACUCGGGGUUAACGAAAGAAUGGGUGGCUCCAGGGUCUAUCAAAAUUCUAGCUAGGCGGUGGAAGACAGGAAUCGUACCUUCCACUACCUCGGCUGAGUCAGGAACUGGACGUUUUUCGUUGGAGUAUACACGUGCGGCCACCUUCGGCUUGACACUUUCUACCCGUGAUUGACUUGAGGUAGCCUUGGAUGUCGGUGUAGUUCCUUUCACGUCUCGGGCUUGGACUGGACAACUGGCUAGCCAGUGCUCUGCACUCCCGCAGCGUAAGCACUUGUUCUGUUUCCUCCAGCAGUCGUCCUCCGUGUGGUUUGGUUUCCCACAAAAGCCACACGGCCCGCGCGCAACAGUAGCGGAACUCCCCUGUGAGGCACUCCUCUGCUGGCCUCGUCCGGGCUGGCUUCCUCGAGAGGGAGCCCCUCUGGCCGGACUCGUAAACCGUCCCCCUCCAGAUCCCCUUCCAAAUUUAGGAGGGGUACUUUUAUCCCCUUGAGUUGAGCUACUUCCAGCAGCUCCACGCUUUCUAUUCUGGAAGUUCCUCACCUGAAGCCUUGCGUUCUCGGAUCCUAAUGCUUUCUCAACAGCAUCACUAAAAGUGGUGAUUUGGGCUACGGCCAAAUCCUUUUGGAUUUCCACAUUAAGCCCCUGAAGGAAACGUCUUGCCCUCCUUUGCUCGGUCAAAAUGAGCUCAGGGGCAAACUUGGACAAGCGUGUGAAUUGGCUCUCAUAUUCGGCCACCGAUUGCGUACCUUGGCGUAGACGAAUAAAUUCAUCUUCCUUUUUCUCCUGAACCAACGGUGGAAAAUACUUAGCGUUAAACUCCCGUACAAAAUUCGUCCAUGUCCUUGGUGUCUGCUCUCGCUCCCAUUUUGUCCGAAUAAUGUUCCACCAAGAGCGAGCGGCCCCUUCGAGUUGGAAGACCGCAAAAGUCACUUGCCUCUCCUCCGAGUAACGUAGGGCGGCAAAAAUGUCUAUCAUCUUCUCCAACCAUUGCUCCGCCACGUCCGGAUCGGGCCCUCCGAGAAAUUUAGGUGGAGAAAAUUUUUGGAAUCGUUCGAGAGCUCGGUCUUCGCUCUCGACAUGAUUUCCAGGAUUUCCAGGGUUUCCAGGGUUGCCGACAGGUGGAUUAGGGUUUGGGCCCUGUUGCUGCACCACCUGGGCCAAGAGAUCAGUCAUCCGCUGGAUAGCAGCGGCUACUUGCACAUUAGGAUCGAUUUGGGGUUCAGGAGUUGGUUCGGGCACUUCAGUUCCCGUACCCUGUUCAGUCGUGGGCUGUCUACCCCCACGUCCUCUACCUCGGCCACUACGCGUGCCCUCCAUCGUUCUAGGUCAAUCUAGAGUCAAAAUAUACACAUAACAUAGCAUUAAGAUAAAAGUGUACACAUCCCUGGGUAUAACAAUAAACAUGAACACCCAGCCAAACAAUGACUUCAUAAAACACUUAGGCAUAUAACACAUAUUCAUAGCAUUCACAACAAGAUCAAACUUUCGUACAAAACAGUCAGUCAAGUUCAAACAGGGAAAGCCUCUUACGGAAUGGCAAUACAAAAGUAAUAUAUACAAAACUAGUCCAAUAUACAACGCGACUAGCUAAGGGUCCUUCCCGGCCUACCACUCCGUAUCCCUUAUAUAUACAAGAGUCAAAAUUCCCAAAAUAGCCUAAAAGCCAAGCCCUAGCCUACCGUGGGACUAGAGGACCUACUCACUUGGGCGGGUUCACUUCCAACCCCGCCUCCUACACUAGAGCCCUCGUCACUCUCGUCCCCUAAUAGGUCAUCACAUAGGUUCAGAAUCGAUCCCGCUCUCUCCUUCAAUUGCCUCGCCCUCUUGACCAUUCGUUCCCGUGUCUCUCCCAAUUGUGUACACAGGUCGUCCACCCUAUCUUGACCUUCACCCAGGUCAUAUUCCAAGUCCUUAAUUCGCUCGGCUUGCCUCUUGUUGGCCUCUCUCAGUUGCUUCACCUCGGCCUCUAGCCUUGCACAAUCUUUGGCCAACUCCUUCCUUUCUUUGUCCACGGCCCAUACUAGUGUAUUGGGGUAGGCAAACCUGUGACGGCACUCACAACGUCGAAGGCGACUAGCCGGACUCCAGCGUACCGCUGUCCCUCUCGGCCGGACCUGGUACUUGAUCAUAGGAAGUACUCUCCGGCCCUGUUCCACAGUCGGUCUCUCACUAGGCCCACUACGCGCGUCCAUCCUACAUAUAAACAUAAUUAAGCUCAACCACGCUUAAGAAAACAAUCAAAUACAAGUCCCUAGUCAAGAAAUUUCUAGCAUGCCCAGGUUAAUCUAAACCUAGGCUCUGAUACCACUUGUGACGACCCCAUCUUCCCCUAAGGCGAACCAGAGGGGUGACGGACCGCCUGCCCAGCUCUCGCCAGGACUACGGAUCACAAAACAAUCAAAUACAUAUUUAAUUUUACAAAAGAAAACUCAACGAAAGAACAUUUUAUCCCAUUAAGGUGUUCUUGGAACAAUAGUAUCAUCACGCAAGAAAGUAUAGCGCUCGAGCACUUCAAUCGGACCAGAAAACGAAGAACGAAAAUUUGCCGCGGAUGAACAGUAACCGCCUGCGUCACUAUCCGGCCAGAAUCUGGCCGGAUAGGAGGCCGAGUGUGAGAGCCCGUAAAACCCUAAUAUUUUUCCUAGGGUUAUUUCCCCUUUUAAUUGCAUAAUUUUGCAUUUUCUGGCUUAGAAAUAUUUUUUUGAGAGGAUUUUAUGAGCAGUUAUAGUUUUAAGAUGAUUUUUCUAGCACUGGAGAAUUUUUAGAAAAUUAAGAGUAAAUAGUGGACGUGGGACCCACUAGUGCGAAAAGUUCAGAAAAAUUCGGCCAAUAAGGUUAAGUUUCGGAUACUGUGUAUAAUUUAUCGGGUGUUAAGAGAUAAGUGGAGUGUGUGAAGUGAUUGAUGUGAGAGAGAAAAGAAGGAUAGGAAUGCAUUUAAUAAGGUGCCAUGUGUCACAAUCUCAUUGGUUGUGACUUAAGAAGUACUAUUCACCUUUUGACAUUUUUUUGACCUUUUGACCCAAGGAAUUAAAUAUCCAAAAUUUCACCAAAAUUCACCAUUUUCUUACCUCUUGUUGGCCGGCCACCUUGAGCAAGGAAGGAAGGAACUUUCUUCAACAUUCAAGCUUCUACUUGGAGCAAAUCAACCAAAACCAUUGGUUACAUCCAAUUCCACUCCAUAAAACUCUUCCUUCUAGUGAUAGUAAGUUGUUUGGUGAACUUUGUUUGAAGGCCUAAGGUGGUCAACAUCUCUCUCUCUCUUGGUUCUUGGUAAGUGAAGCUUGAAACACCCUACUAUCUCUAAUGAUGCUUAUUUUGUGCUUAAUGGAGGCAUGAGAGGAGUAAAAUGUGAUUUAUUUCUUGAUUUGGCUUGAUAUGGUGAAGUUUUCAUUUUAUUGAGAAUUUUUCUGGUUUAAUAUGAAAUGAAGGUUGUGGCUUUGCAUGAUGAAUGGUAUUGGUUGAUAAUGACUCUAUGAGGUGUAUUGGAUAGGAAAAUGCAACUAAUUUUGGAUUUGGAUGGAAAAUUGGAAAGUUAGGGUUCUUGAAGCCCCAAUUCUGUCCGGUUUUAGAUCACUGUGUUAGAGGCCGAAUUUGACUUUGCUCAAAACAUGAAAGUUGUAGGUAUUGAUGUGAUGGAGAUGGCUGUAAAAUUUCAGGUCAUUUGGAUUAAUGUGGAAUGAGAUAUGACGCAAUUACUGUAGCUGUUCUGCUUUGAGCAGAAUGCGAAAACUGCGAUAGUAAUUGGCCAUUUUGACUGGAAUUGGUUUGGAUUUUGGAGUUGGUGUCUUCUGAUGAAAUGUAGCUGAGUGUCUUAGCUAACAUAUGCCUUUGGAAUUUCGGCAUUUGGACUUGUAAGGACUGAGAUAUACCGAUUACAGUGUUUUGUGUUUUGCGAACCUGUUUUAGGAAUUCUGGGUUAGUAUUUGGCAUAGUUGACCUAGUUGUGUUACGAACUGGAUUGAGUGACCUUCUACAUUGUUUUAGCCCUGUUUCAUAGCUUCGAAUCGGUGGGUCUUACACCCCCAACCGAUAAUUGUAAUGAGAGUUGUGCCAUUACCGCAUAAUGAGUGUAAAACAGUUUUCUAUAUGGGGGCCAUGGCUAAGGCCAUUUUCGAAUUUCUGGGUUGCUUUUAUGCACACUUAUGUAUAUGAAACCCUAUUGGGGUUGUGUUUAGCGUUGCUAUAUGACUCGUUAUCGAGUCUCGUUGUAUGUGUUAUAUGUUCUAGGGCUUGAAGGUAGUGCACGACGGCUUGGUGAUCGUGGUACAUGAAAUACCACUUACUUACUUGGUGAGUAUACUACUCACUUACUUGUUAUAAUGUGGCUUUGUGCUAUGUGUAUUUGAUGCCUUGAAGGCUUACUUGGUUAUUGGAAAUGAUUGAGGUGAGGGUGUACUUGAUCGCCCUCACCCCUUGUGAUUUUGGUUAUGGCUACUGAUUGUUUUACUGAAAUACUGCACUGGGUAUAUGAGAUACUGCAUUCCAUUCAUGGAAACUGAUUUGGUGUCGUUGGACGAGUAUCCAAUGGCUUUACUGCAUUUAUGAGCUCAACCCCGUAUGGUAGUUAAUUGGAUCGAGCCGGCGAGGGCUUGGUCGUGAAAAUUAUCAUGCCACGGGGACUGUACUGGGGAACCUUGUGGUAAUGAGACCCUUGGUUCCGGUAAACUCGAGUAUUACCAAAAUAUUACUGAAUGGAGUGCGGGCCCGGUUGGGGUAUGUUGGGUGGAAGGAAGUGGAAGUAAAGUGUGGUCUACGGUUUGAUACUUUUGACAUUGACGGAGGGUCAAUGAGGUUGGAUCAAGAUUGCAAGCGUGGAAAUGGGCUCUUGAGAGCCGACCGUAUCCUUUUACCGUUUUGCUUCAUUGCUUAUUUGAGCACUUUAAAUGAAAGUUCAUUCUUAUAUGACUUUGAUUGCUUAUUGGGUGGUAUACCACUGGGCUUUAGCUCAUUCCGUGUUAUUUGUUUUCCUUACAGGCAAAUGAACACUUUUGGAAAGGUUAUGAUAGUUGAAUGCAAGUCGAGCUCAUGUAUAUGUAUUUUGAAUAGCUCCUUGAGGGUGAAAACCCUAAGUACUUUGAUUCCACCAAUGUUUGGUGUGUAAUUGGCUAUUUGGAUAUGUAUGAACUAAAUGGAUACUUUGGUAGGCCGUUUGGCUUGUAAAUGUUGAUUUCCAAUGUAUAUAUAUGUUUGGUUGAUGUUUGGAUUGAUUUCGGAUCGAUACGACUUCAAACGAAAACGGGAAAAAAUUUUUGCCGAGCGUGAACAGUGGCGAAUCCGGCCAGAAACUGGCCGGAUUGCAGGCCGGAUUGCCUGGGGGAAAAAUGGAACCCGGCCAGUUGCUCUCGGCCGGGUAUCCGGCCAGACAAUCCGGCCGGAUCUUGGCCGGAUUGCCGGCCGGAUUGUGAUGGAAGGAAAAAAAAAAAAGAGUUUUGAGUUUUGGCUUGUUUGCGCGCAACGGUAUGUUCCGGAUAGUAAUAGAACGACGUAAAACGUACUGUUAGUCCUGGCGAGAGCUGGGCAGGCAGUCCGCUAACCCCUCUGGUUCGCCUUAGGGGAAGGUGGGGCUGUCACAGGUGGUAUCAGAGCCUAGGUUUGAAUUAGCCUGGGUGUAAUAGAAGUGCUCGACUUGAGGGUUUUAUUGAUUAUGGUUUUAAGGUUAUUCAUGUUAUUUAUUCCUUUGCUAUAGGAUGGAUGCCAGUGGUGACCCGAGUGACCGUCCGGCGGGAGAUCGUCCUCGUAGCACGUUGCCGCCGAUUAGGUAUCAACUUAGGCAGAAGGGAGCCGUGGUCCGUUGGAGCCCGGCCAGCCGCGUUCGACAGUGUGAGUGUCGUAGCAACUUUGCCUACCCAAAUACACUAGUUUUGUCGGUGGCAAAGGAACGCGAGGAGUUUGCUAAGGAAAAUACUAAGCUUGAAGCUGCGGUUGCUACCUUGGAGGCUGAGGUGGCUCAGGCGAAGGCGACCAAUGACAAGCAAGCCGCACGUAUCAUGGAGCUUGAGUAUGAUGUGAAUGAGGCGGAGGACCGAGUUAAUGACUUAUGUGAUCAACUCAGGGAUGGUCGCGAGCGUGAGGUCAAGCGAGCUCGCAAAGUGAGGGGUCGUGCUGAAGCGAUCCUUAACCUAUGCGACGAUGGACUCGAGGAGUCUAGCGAUGAGGCCUCGUAUGCUGGGGCCGAGGCUAGGGAGGAAUCUACCCCAUCGCCUGGGUCUCAGACCCCGGCAACCGACUAAGCUAUGAUAUCUAGGCACCUUUUGGGCUAGUGGUGGUUUUUGAAUGUACAUAGGGAUAGGGAUAGAGCCUUAGCUAACCGUUUUGGAUGUAGAGUUAGCUACGUGUAAAUCUCUUUUGAUAGGCCUAUCCUCAGGUGGAUCUUUUGUGUACGUACGUGCUUUGGCCGUACCUGACUGACUGCUUGUAUAUAUGUUUGGCUUGUAUAUAUGUGUGCUUUUGAUCUUGUUUGAAAUGCAUCGUUAUGUGCUAAGUGAAAGUUUAUUUGUUACUUAUAUGCUUUGUUAUUGCUUUGGUUUAGUACUUUUGCCUAGACCAAGUAUACCUUAUGGAAGGAACGCGAAGUGGUCGGGGACGUGGGCGCGGUAUUAGGCAACCCACACCAGUUAGGGAAACGGGGGAAGCUUCUACUGGACCGAAUCCUGAACCCCAAAUAGACCCUAAUGUGCAAAUAGCUGCUGCUAUGCAGCAAAUGACCAACCUACUUGCACAGGUAGUGCAACAACAGGGCCAAAACCCAAACCCUAACCCCGGAAAUCCUGGUAACCACGUUGAGAGCGAGGAUAGAGCUCUCGAACGUUUUCAAAAGUUUUCCCCACCAAAGUUUAUUGGGGGACCCGACCCUGACGUCGCCGAGAAGUGGCUUGAGAAAAUGGUUGAUAUAUUCGCGGCCCUACACUACCCGGACGAACGGCAGGUCACUUUUGCCGUUUUUCAACUCGAGGGAGCUGCCCGUUCCUGGUGGAACGUAAUUAGGCAGAAAUGGGAGCGUGAGCAGACUCCGAGGACGUGGGUGAACUUCAUCCGGGAAUUUAAUGCCAAGUUUUUCCCUCCUCUAGUCCAGGAGAGGAAGGAGGACGAGUUUAUCCGGCUCCGGCAAGGGGCUCAGACGGUGGCGGAGUACGAGAGCCAGUUUACCCGCCUGUCCAAAUUCGCGCCUGAAUUAAUCAUGACCGAGCAACGACGCGUGAGGCGCUUUAUUCAGGGCUUGAAUGUUGAGAUCCAGAAGGACCUCGCGGCGGCUCAAAUUACCACGUUUAGCGAGGCAAUGGAAAAAGCCCAACGGGUUGAGAGUGCACGGCUUCAGGUCCGAAAUUUCCAAGCCAAGAAGCGUGGCUUUCCUGGGAGUACUUCGGGACAGGGUGAGAAGAGCACUCCCUCCAAAAUUGGACGAGGCAUGGGUGGUGGUCGACAGUCCGGAUCUGGCAGAGGGACUCCGUUCAGGGGUGGUCAAGCUGGGCGAGGACCGAGGGGAAACACCCAGAGUGGCUCGGCUUCGGCACCUCGUGGUCCCUGUGGGCACUGCGGAAAGACAAACCACACCGAGGACAAUUGCUGGAGGAAACUGGGGAAAUGUCUGCGGUGUGGAAGUGCGGACCAUCAGCUGGCUACAUGUCCGGUCCUGAAACAAGACGGAAAGGGGAGCCAACUCCCGUCGAGAACCAAUACUGGACCGGCUAAGGGAGACGGAUCCAAACCAAAAGUUCCGGCUAGGGUAUAUUCCUUAGAGCCCCACCAGAUCCCAGAGUCUUCCGAGGUCGUAGAAGGUACGAUCCCUAUUUUCCACCGCUUUGCCAAAGUUUUAAUUGAUCCUGGUGCCACUCAUUCGUUUGUUAACCCUGAUUUCAUGUGUGGCAUCGAUAUAAAACCUGCUAGCUUACCAUAUGACUUAGAGGUUAGUACACCUACGGGGAAUCAACGUUUGGUGACUAGUAUGGUUUAUAAGGAUUGUGAUGUAUGGGUAGGUGAGCGGAGGUUUUUAGGAGACCUGAUUAGCUUGUCCAUUAAGGGGUACGACGUGAUUUUGGGUAUGGACUGGUUAGCUAAGUAUAACGCCCAACUGGACUGUAAAACGAAAAUAGUUGAAUUUCGCAUUCCUGGCGAGGCAACCUUAAGGUUAGAUAUAAGGGGUAGGUUAGCCUCAUCUGCUCUCAUUUCGGGCAUUCGAGCUAGGAAACUGGUAAGUAGAGGGGCGCAAGGCUAUUUGGCCUUUCUAAUUAAUACCCCAGCGGAUAAGUUAAAAGUGGAAGACGUGGCUGUAGUGAGGGAAUUUCCGGAUGUGUUUCCUGAUGAGUUAGUAGCCUUACCUCCGGAAAGAGAGAUAGAAUUCCGUAUAGAUCUUUUACCUGGAACCGCACCUAUCUCCAAAACCCCUUACCGAAUGGCGCCUGCGGAACUUAAAGAGCUUAAGUUGCAAUUGCAAGACCUUUUGGAGCGGGGAUUCAUUCACGAGAGUGAGUCUCCUUGGGGAGCUCCGGUCCUAUUUGUGAAGAAAAAGGACGGAACGUUGAGGAUGUGUAUUGAUUAUAGGGGGUUGAACAACGUUACGAUCAAGAACAAGUAUCCACUGCCCCACAUUGACGAGUUGUUUGACCAGCUGCAAAGAGCAGUGGUCUUCUCGAAGUUGGACCUCCGACAGGGAUACUAUCAGUUAUUGGUAAAGAAGGAGGACAUUCCGAAAACUGCCUUCAACUCGAGAUACGGGCAUUACGAGUUCGCCGUUAUGCCCUUUGGAUUGACUAAUGCUCCCGCCGCCUUCAUGGACCUAAUGCAUAGGGUUUUCAAACCCUACCUGGACCGAUUUGUCGUGGUGUUCAUUGACGACAUUUUGGUCUACUCUAAGUCACGCGAGGAGCAUGAGGAGCACUUGAGAGUGGUGUUGCAGACAUUGAAGGAACAUCAGCUAUACGCCAAGUUCAGUAAAUGUGAGUUCUGGUUGGAGAAAGUGGCAUUUCUAGGGCACGUGAUCUCUCAUGAAGGUAUUGCAGUGGACCCGGCGAAGGUUGAAGCUGUGACCAAUUGGAAGAGGCCAGAAACCCCCACGGAGAUUCGCAGCUUUCUAGGGCUAGCUGGGUAUUACCGAAGGUUCAUUAAAGAUUUCUCCAAGUUAGCCGGACCAUUAACUGACUUGACGAAGAAGCAUGGCCAGUUUAUCUGGAGCGGCCGAUGCCAAACGAGUUUUCAGGAAUUAAAGAAAAGAUUGACCAUGGCUCCGGUACUGGUCUUGCCAAAUGGAGUGGACGGGUUUGCAGUAUAUGCGGACGCGUCGCGAGAGGGAUUGGGGUGUGUUUUGAUGCAGAACCGAAAUGUGAUAGCUUUCGCCUCUAGGAAAUUGAAGCUUCACGAGCAGAACUACCCGACUCACGACCUAGAAUUAGCCGCUGUUGUGUUUGCUUUGAAAAAGUGGAGGCACUACCUAUAUGGGGUGACCUUCGAAGUGUUUUCGGAUCACAAGAGUCUUAGGUACCUUUUCUCCCAGAAGGAACUGAAUAUGAGACAACGGCGAUGGAUGGAAUUCUUGGAAGAUUACGAUUGUACAAUCAACUACCAUCCGGGAAAGGCAAAUGUGGUAGCAGAUGCCUUGAGUCGUAAAGUGCAAGUGGCAGGGCUAAUGAUCAAGGAAUGGGAUUUGCUAGAAUUCGUGUGCGAGUGGAAACCCUGUCUUGGGAGCCAUAAGGUGAUAUUUGGCAAUAUUAGGGUUACAUCCACUCUACUGGAACGUAUAAAAGAGGCGCAAGGCAAGGAUUUGAUGGUGCGGAAGUGGAGAGCGAAAGUGGAAAAGGGAGAAACUACGGACUUCAAUUUGAGUCCUGAGGGUCUUCUGAAGUAUCGGAACCGAAUUGUAGUACCAAAGGACGAGUCAUUAAAAGCAGAAAUUCUGGAGGAAGCUCAUCGGUCCAAGUAUACAAUCCAUCCGGGUAGCAGCAAGAUGUAUCAAGACCUGAAAGGGACCUAUUGGUGGGAUAAUAUGAAGAGGGAAAUAGCUCAAUACGUGCAGAAAUGUCUUAUUUGCCAGCAAGUGAAGGCAGAGCAUCAAAAACCAUCGGGUCUAUUACAACCCUUGGAGAUACCCGAGUGGAAGUGGGAAAACAUCACUAUGGACUUCGUUUCAGGUUUACCAAGGACGCAAAGGGGACACGAUGCCGUUUGGGUGAUCGUUGAUCGAUUAACCAAAUCGGCCCAUUUCUUGCCGGUGAACAUGAAGUAUUCAAUGGAUCAGUUGGCCCGACUGUACAUGGACGAAGUAGUAAGACUACACGGUGUUCCUGUGAGCAUCGUUUCCGAUCGGGAUCCACGGUUCGUAUCAUGAUUUUGGCAGAAAUUCCAAGAAACCCUGGGGACGAAACUCAAUUUGAGCACAACCUAUCACCCUCAGACGGAUGGCCAGUCAGAACGGACGAUUCAAACUCUCGAGGACAUGCUACGAACUUGCAUUCUGGACUUUGGAGGCAGUUGGGGUCAGCACAUGACCUUGGUGGAGUUCGCGUACAACAAUAGCUUUCAUUCGUCGAUUCAAAUGGCUCCAUACGAAGCUCUCUACGGACGCAAGUGCCGCUCACCGAUUUACUGGGAUGAAGUUGGCGAAAAGAAGGCACUGGACCUGACAACUAUUCCGUGGAUGGAAGAGGCUCACGAGAAGGUCAAGUUGAUACGACAACGACUUCAAACAGCUCAAAGUCGACAAAAGAGCUACGCGGAUAAUCGAAGGAAAGACUUGGAGUUUGAAGUUGGAGACUACGUAUUUCUCAAGAUCACACCCUUACGAAGUCUGACAACGGGGAAAGGAAAGAAGCUUCAACCGCGGUACGUCGGACCCUACAAGAUCCUUCAGAGGGUUGGAGCGGUCGCGUAUCGAUUGGAACUGCCAUCCAGUCUCUCUCGAAUCCACGAUGUAUUUCACGUCUCGAUGCUAAAGAAGUACCAUCCUGACCCAUCUCAUGUUUUACAACCGGAAGAUAUCGAAGUAGAUGAAUCACUGGCCUAUGAAGAGAAACCGGUUCAAGUACUCGAUCGAAAAGUCAAAGAGCUCAGAAACAAAAAGAUUCCGCUAGUGAAAGUGCUAUGGAGAAACCACGGAGUGGAGGAAGCUACAUGGGAGAUGGAAGAGGAAAUGCGAAAGAAAUACCCAAACCUUUUCGGGAAUUAAGGUGAGAAAUUUCGAGGACGAAAUUCUUUUAAGGAGGGGAGAGUGUGAGAGCCCGUAAAACCCUAAUAUUUUCCCUAGGGUUAUUUCCCCUUUUAAUUGCAUAAUUUUGCAUUUUCUGGCUUAGAAAUAUUUUUUUGAGAGGAUUUUAUGAGCAGUUAUAGUUUUAAGAUGAUUUUUCUAGCACUGGAGAAUUUUUAGAAAAUUAAGAGUAAAUAGUGGACGUGGGACCCACUAGUGCGAAAAGUUCAGAAAAAUUCGGCCAAUAAGGUUAAGUUUCGGAUACUGUGUAUAAUUUAUCGGGUGUUAAGAGAUAAGUGGAGUGUGUGAAGUGAUUGAUGUGAGAGAGAAAAGAAGGAUAGGAAUGCAUUUAAUAAGGUGCCAUGUGUCACAAUCUCAUUGGUUGUGACUUAAGAAGUACUAUUCACCUUUUGACAUUUUUUUGACCUUUUGACCCAAGGAAUUAAAUAUCCAAAAUUUCACCAAAAUUCACCAUUUUCUUACCUCUUGUUGGCCGGCCACCUUGAGCAAGGAAGGAAGGAACUUUCUUCAACAUUCAAGCUUCUACUUGGAGCAAAUCAACCAAAACCAUUGGUUACAUCCAAUUCCACUCCAUAAAACUCUUCCUUCUAGUGAUAGUAAGUUGUUUGGUGAACUUUGUUUGAAGGCCUAAGGUGGUCAACAUCUCUCUCUCUCUUGGUUCUUGGUAAGUGAAGCUUGAAACACCCUACUAUCUCUAAUGAUGCUUAUUUUGUGCUUAAUGGAGGCAUGAGAGGAGUAAAAUGUGAUUUAUUUCUUGAUUUGGCUUGAUAUGGUGAAGUUUUCAUUUUAUUGAGAAUUUUUCUGGUUUAAUAUGAAAUGAAGGUUGUGGCUUUGCAUGAUGAAUGGUAUUGGUUGAUAAUGACUCUAUGAGGUGUAUUGGAUAGGAAAAUGCAACUAAUUUUGGAUUUGGAUGGAAAAUUGGAAAGUUAGGGUUCUUGAAGCCCCAAUUCUGUCCGGUUUUAGAUCACUGUGUUAGAGGCCGAAUUUGACUUUGCUCAAAACAUGAAAGUUGUAGGUAUUGAUGUGAUGGAGAUGCCUGUAAAAUUUCAGGUCAUUUGGAUUAAUGUGGAAUGAGAUAUGACGCAAUUACUGUAGCUGUUCUGCUUUGAGCAGAAUGCGAAAACUGCGAUAGUAAUUGGCCAUUUUGACUGGAAUUGGUUUGGAUUUUGGAGUUGGUGUCUUCUGAUGAAAUGUAGCUGAGUGUCUUAGCUAACAUAUGCCUUUGGAAUUUCGGCAUUUGGACUUGUAAGGACUGAGAUAUACCGAUUACAGUUUUUUGUGUUUUGCGAACCUGUUUUAGGAAUUCUGGGUUAGUAUUUGGCAUAGUUGACCUAGUUGUGUUACGAACUGGAUUGAGUGACCUUCUACAUUGUUUUAUCCCUGUUUCAUAGCUUCGAAACGGUGGGUCUUACACCCCCAACCGAUAAUUGUAAUGAGAGUUGUGCCAUUACCGCAUAAUGAGUGUAAAACAGUUUUCUAUAUGGGGGCCAUGGCUAAGGCCAUUUUCGAAUUUCUGGGUUGCUUUUAUGCACACUUAUGUAUAUGAAACCCUAUUGGGGUUGUGUUUAGCGUUGCUAUAUGACUCGUUAUCGAGUCUCAUUGUAUGUGUUAUAUGUUCUAGGGCUUGAAGGUAGUGCACGACGGCUUGGUGAUCGUGGUACAUGAAAUACCACUUACUUACUUGGUGAGUAUACUACUCACUUACUUGUUAUAAUAUGGCUUUGUGCUAUGUGUAUUUGAUGCCUUGAAGGCUUACUUGGUUAUUGGAAAUGAUUGAGGUGAGGGUGUACUUGAUCGCCCUCACCCCUUGUGAUUUUGGUUAUGGCUACUGAUUGUUUUACUGAAAUACUGCACUGGGUAUAUGAGAUACUGCAUUCCAUUCAUGGAAACUGAUUUGGUGUCGUUGGACGAGUAUCCAAUGGCUUUACUGCAUUUAUGAGCUCAACCCCGUAUGGUAGUUAAUUGGAUCGAGCCGGCGAGGGCUUGGUCGUGAAAAUUAUCAUGCCACGGGGACUGUACUGGGGAACCUUGUGGUAAUGAGACCCUUGGUUCCGGUAAACUCGAGUAUUACCAAAAUAUUACUGAAUGGAGUGCGGGCCCGGUUGGGGUAUGUUGGGUGGAAGGAAGUGGAAGUAAAGUGUGGUCUACGGUUUGAUACUUUUGACAUUGACGGAGGGUCAAUGAGGUUGGAUCAAGAUUGCAAGCGUGGAAAUGGGCUCUUGAGAGCCGACCGUAUCCUUUUACCGUUUUGCUUCAUUGCUUAUUUGAGCACUUUAAAUGAAAGUUCAUUCUUAUAUGACUUUGAUUGCUUAUUGGGUGGUAUACCACUGGGCUUUAGCUCAUUCCGUGUUAUUUGUUUUCCUUACAAGCAAAUGAACACUUUUGGAAAGGUUAUGAUAGUUGAAUGCAAGUCGAGCUCAUGUAUAUGUAUUUUGAAUAGCUCCUUGAGGGUGAAAACCCUAAGUACUUUGAUUCCACCAAUGUUUGGUGUGUAAUUGGCUACUUGGAUAUGUAUGAACUAAAUGGAUACUUUGGUAGGCCGUUUGGCUUGUAAAUGUUGAUUUCCAAUGUAUAUAUAUGUUUGGUUGAUGUUUGGAUUGAUUUCGGAUCGAUACGACUUCAAACGAAAACGGGAAAAAAUUUUUGCCGAGCGUGAACAGUGGCGAAUCCGGCCAGGAAUCCGGCCAGAAACUGGCCGGAUUGCAGGCCGGAUUGCCUGGGGGAAAAAUGGAACCCGGCCAGUUGCUCUCGGCCGGGUAUCCGGCCAGACAAUCCGGCCGGAUCUUGGCCGGAUUGCCGGCUGGAUUGUGAUGGAAGGAAAAAAGAAAAAAAAGUUUUGAGUUUUGGCUUGUUUGCGCGCAACGGUAUGUUCCGGAUCGUAAUAGAACGACGUAAAACGUACUGUUAGUCCUGGCGAGAGCUGGGCAGGCAGUCCGCUAACCCCUCUGGUUCGCCUUAGGGGAAGGUGGGGCUGUCACACCGAGGCUUAACCCAAAUUUUUCGAAAUCCCCUACCAAUCCGGCCAGAAAUCCGGCCGGAAGUUGGCCGGAUUGCUCUGGCCGGAUUGUGGCCAGAAGCAAAAUCGAAAAUUUUUUUUCUUCCCCUGCAUAUCCGGCCUUGUAUCCGGCCAGAAAUUGGCCGGAUUCUUGGCCGGAUUCUGGGCAGUGUUUUUGCCAAAAAUUCUUUCUUCCUUCGUACAAAACCGACACACGCGUAAACACAUCAAACACAUAAUGCAGUUUAUCCAAGCCUUGAAAAGCUGUUUAUACAUGCCAUAUAUACAUGAGAAAGGUUCAAUUUACACUUCAAAAGUUCUUGGAAUCAAAUACAUCAAAGUUCAAGUUUCCGAGGAGCUAAUCAAAACUAACUACAUAUCUAGCUCAACUCAUUCAAAACUUGAGGUCCAACGGGGCUCCUGUAAGGAAAACAAAAUAACGGGGGUGAGCUUACGCUCGUGAGGUACCAAAUUUACACACAAGUAAUACAAGUCAACAACCACAUAUACACAAGUGCCUCUAGCCAAUCAACCAUAUAUAAAAGGAUACAAUCGGCCCUCAAGGGCCGUUUUCCACUUGCCGUACUUGAUCAUACCCGUUGACACUCCGUCAACCAUUGGAGACAACCAAGAACCGUAGGCACCUCUUUACACCAUUUCCUUCCACCAAUCACCCCCUUACCGGGCCCGCACACCUCACAGUUACAAAAGGCAAUACUCGAGUAUACCAUAAGGUCGAGGAGUGAAUAUUCCACUCGACUAUCAGUGACCCAAAGGCACGUUAACGACUCGCCCAAGCCCUAGCCGGCUCGACUCGAGUAACGGCCUAAGGGAAAGAGCUCAGUUUUCACAGUAAUAAUAGGGCAUAGCCCUAGCAAAUAUCAAACCACAUAUGUACUUGAAAUUUCACAGUCCAACAGUAACAAUAAUACCAGUAAGUGGUCAAGAGCGAUAAAGUACACCCUUGACCUAUUCAAGCCAUACAAGUCACAUAUCAAGUGCAAUCAACCAUUUAAUGAUACACUCACCAAGUACUCAAGUAAAUCACACGUUCGAGUCAGGAGUAGGUCCCGGUCCACCGGUACGACCUAAAACAAGCAAGAAACAUAUUUGAGACUCAUACACGAGUCAACGUAUAGGUUUAACCUACUAAUACAAAUUACUCGAAAAUACAAAAUGGAGCAACGAAAGUGUGGAAUGUGAACAAACUCCCAAAGUCAUCCAUUCUAUUCAAAUCCUUCUCAAUUCAAGACCUCCCAUUUUUACACCCAAUUGGGCGGCAUUUCCCCUUAAUUUCUUCACAUUUCCAACCUAAUGAACAACACUCAACACUUGUACCAUUCCACUUAUGGUUCUUAAACUAGUCCAUUCACCCCAUUUGAAUCACAAUACAACCAUAUACACAUCAAUUGAUUGCAUGAAAACCAUACAUGGAAAAGCCCCAAUUUCAUUAAACCCUAAAACCGAAAUUUUCUCACAAAUGCUGAAAUUUUUCACAAUUACCCACCAUUAACACAUAUAAGCUCUAAAUCAAGCCAUAUAAAGCCAUCACACCCAACUCAACCAUGAUAUAUCAUAUAAAACAGAAAAUUCCUAAAUAAAUAGAAAAUUGCCACAUCUCAAGUAUAAGUCAUGAAAUACUCCAUAAAAUAGCCUCUUGAACUACUAUCACCCAUAACUUUCAUCUUACAACCAACAAGGAAACAAUUCCAUAUUCACUCACCUUACAAUUCUUGAUACAAGGUAGAUGAGAGCCUUUCCUUUCAAACAAAAACCACCAAGCACUUCAAACACUCCUAGCAAGAAGGUUUUAUGGAGGAUUUUGAGAGAUUAGUGGUUGGAUUCCAUGAUUUGGCAAAGAAAUGGAGCAAGAGUUGAAGAGCUUUCUUCCUUCUUUUCUCUCUAGUUGGCCGGCCAAGAGGUAAGAAAUAAUGAGGAAUUUUAGUCAAAAUUUUAAUUUAGUAAAGGUGUAGACAAGUCAAAAGUCCAAGGUCCAAUAGGAUUGCAACAUGUGUUUUUUUCCAAGCUUAUCUCAUUCUUGUCUUACAACACUUAAUUAAACCAACUAACCUCCAAUUAACUCAUAACACAAGAUAAUAAAACUUCCGUAUAUAAAAUUUCCCAAAACUACAUUUAACUGUACCGAUCGUCUUAGUGGGUCCCGCAAUCGCUGUAUACCGUUAACAACACAGAAUUUGACCUAAACCUAGAAAAUGAUGUAAAAUUCAUAUUCUCUCAUAAAAUUCCCCAGAAAACCCACGGAUAGAAGAAAACCCUAAAAUUAGGCCCAAACGCCCAAAAUAAAUGCCUGAAAAAUAUGAAAAUUUUCGGGGUCUCACAGGUUGACAGGAGGGUCAAUGCGGGAAAGUAUACGAAUGACAUCGACAGAGCGAGUGGAACUUAGCUCCUGAGAGCUACUAUAUCCUUGAAUUGUUUCUGAUUUACUUUUCCGGCUCGAAUGAUUGACUAAUGAAAUGUCCUGGUUUUGUUUAAUGAAUUUGGGAUUGCUAUUUGAACAAAGUGCUUGCAUGUGUGUUCUUGGCCUCACGAGCGUUUUGCUCACCCUGUAGAUUUGUUUUCCUUAACAGGACUGGAAAUGGAGUUAACGCGGAGAAAUCUCCUUUUAGAUAUAUUGUGUUUUAGGGUUUCAAGUGUAUUUUGGCUCGACCCCUUUAUGAUUGUACUUUUGGAAGUUUAAUGUAUCAUUCGGAUAUAUGGGGUGUAUAUUUUG